AACCCUGAUGCAGCAACGCCGCGUGAGGUAUGAAGGCCUUUGGGUGUAAGCCUCUGUCCUAGGGGAAGAAAAAAAUGACGGUACCCGAGGAGGAAGCCCCGGCUAACUACGUGCCAGCAGCCGCGGUAAUACGUAGGGGGCAAGCGUUAUCCGGAAUUAUUGGGCGUAAAGAGUGCGUAGGUGGUCUACUAAGCGCGAGGUGAAAGGCAAUGGCUCAACCAUUGUUAGCCUUGCGAACUGGCAGACUUGAGUGCAAGAGAGGAAAGCGGAAUUCCUAGUGUAGCGGAGAAAUGCGCAGAUAUUAGGAGGAACACCGGCGGCGAAGGCGGCUUUCUGGAUUGUAACUGACACUGAGGCACGAAAGCGUGGGUAGCAAACAGGAUUAGAUACCCUGGUAGUCCACGCCGUAAACGAUGAGCACUAGGUGUCGGGACAUGAGUCUCGGUGCCGCAGUUAACGCAAUAAGUGCUCCGCCUGGGGAGUACGCACGCAAGUGUAAAACUCAAAGGAAUUGACGGGGACCCGCACAAGCAGCGGAGCAUGU
rnacentral:rRNA from 1 species